rnacentral:tRNA from 1 species
UAGAAUGUAGCUAAGUGGUUAAAGCUCCAGCUUUUGACGCUGGCAUCGAAGGUUCGAUUCCUUUCAUUCUAG